GCCGGAGUGGUGAAACUGGCAGACGCGCGGGACUCAAAAUCCCGUGACCGCAAGGUCGUGAGGGUUCGAUUCCCUCCUCCGGCA
rnacentral:tRNA from 1 species